GAUGAACGCUGGCGGCAGGCUUAACACAUGCAAGUCGAGCGGAGUGAUGGCGCUUGCACUAUCACUUAGCGGCGGACGGGUGAGUAAUGCUUAGGAAUCUGCCUAUUAGUGGGGGACAACAUCUCGAAAGGGAUGCUAAUACCGCAUACGUCCUACGGGAGAAAGCAGGGGAUCACUUGUGACCUUGCGCUAAUAGAUGAGCCUAAGUCGGAUUAGCUAGUUGGUGGGGUAAAGGCCUACCAAGGCGACGAUCUGUAGCGGGUCUGAGAGGAUGAUCCGCCACACUGGGACUGAGACACGGCCCAGACUCCUACGGGAGGCAGCAGUGGGGAAUAUUGGACAAUGGGGGGAACCCUGAUCCAGCCAUGCCGCGUGUGUGAAGAAGGCCUUAUGGUUGUAAAGCACUUUAAGCGAGGAGGAGGCUCUUUUGGUUAAUACCCAAGAUGAGUGGACGUUACUCGCAGAAUAAGCACCGGCUAACUCUGUGCCAGCAGCCGCCGUAA
rnacentral:rRNA from 1 species